UGCUCGUCUAGAUGCCAGAGGAGGCAGGUGUGAAUAGAGUGGGGGCGGGCAAGAUGCUAGACGGGGAAAAUGUUCAACAUAAAUAUGUUUACAAUUUUCUUACAAUGUGCUAUACUUCAAAGGAGAUGAGGCUUUCAGAGCAUCUGGGGUCUUCCCUUUGAGAGAGAGAACAGGCUUGGUUUUUGGAGCACUAUGGAUUAUACCCCUUCCACUUAAAUGGCCACUUUCCUUUCACUCAGAUUCAUCCCUCGUGAAGAUGGAGAAGACAAGUUCACGUCCUGGUUCUCAAGGCUUGUGAGUGGGCAUAGAUUUGCCAGAAAAAGCAAGUUAGGUGCCGUGCUAGGGGUGUGUGUGGUGAAGCCAGAGAAUACGCAGGAAGCUUGUGUCGACUUCGUGUUCAGCCUUCACUCUUCUCCUUGGGCCAAGCUCGUGAUGACUUUGUCUCUCCCUUUCUGGUCCUGGCGACGUUACCAUCUUUCAUCUCUCCGGUGUGCAGGCCCUGCUCUCCAGAAUAGAGCUGAGGACCAGUUCUCCUGGGCCCUGCCGUGACGAAUAGCCGACGCGGUCACGCUGUGUGACAUCGGAUGCUGACGGAGAUCUGCCCGAAGGCCCCGGGGCUUCUGAUGUGUGGAUGACAGCUCGCGUCGGUCAGGGUGCUCGUGUCACCGCGUCAGCUUUGGGUUGCCGAGUGCCAGGGGUCUUCUGCUCUCUGUUUCUGCCACAGCAAUGUGAUAAGUGCGGUUCCGUGUGCAGAGAUAAGGGACCAUGCUCGAUAAGGCUUCCACUGCCGUCGGUGCUCUAAUCAGACCACUAGGAAACAGCAGCUGACUGAUGAGUUUCCGGUACUUUCUCCUUCCCUCUGACGAGAGCCAGGCGGCUCUUCAGGGGACAGCAAGCAGCCAGGCGCCGUGGGCGGUGGGGUCUCCACGGCCUGAAGCACAGAGCACAGCUUUCACAGCCACUAGAAUUUCUGUACUGAGGGUUCCCCUAUAACCCACAGUGGCUCCCCAAAUUGUUCAGAGAUGGGCCAGGGCUUCAAGGACAUGAAACGGGAAAAAACAAACACACCCAAAGUAGCACUGGUAACUUAGGAUGGAAAUAAUAUUUUAGUAUAUUUCUAAGAAAUUGGCAUAAAUUUUAGAACUUGUGGAAUCAAUUCAUAAUUAAUAAUUAACUGAUAUUUUACAUUAAU
rnacentral:lncRNA from 1 species